rnacentral:rRNA from 1 species
UACGGAGGAUCCUAGUGUUAUCCGGAUUUAUUGGGUUUAAAGGGAGCGUAGGCGGGAGGUCAAGUCAGCUGUGAAAUGUAUCUGCUUAACGGGGUACACUGCAGUUGAAACUGGUUUUCUUGAGUGCGUAAGAGGCAGGCGGAAUUCGUUGUGUAGCGGUGAAAUGCUUAGAUAUGACGAGGAACUCCUAUUGCGAAGGCAGCUUGCUGGGUCGUUACUGACGCUGAUGCUCGAAGGUGCGGGGAUCAAACAGGGAUUAGAUACCCCGGUA